UACGAAGGGGGCUAGCGUUGCUCGGAAUGACUGGGCGUAAAGGGCGCGUAGGCGGAUUGUACAGUCAGGCGUGAAAUUCCCGGGCUCAACCUGGGGGCUGCGCUUGAGACGUGCGAUCUUGAGUGGGGAAGAGGGUCGUGGAAUUCCCAGUGUAGAGGUGAAAUUCGUAGAUAUUGGGAAGAACACCCGUGGCGAAGGCGGCUCUCUGGAACGCAACUGACGCUGAGACGCGAAAGCGUGGGGAGCAAACAGG
rnacentral:rRNA from 1 species